AGUGAACGCUGGCGGUAGGCCUAACACAUGCAAGUCGAGCGGCAGCACAGUAAGAUCUUGCUCUUACGGGUGGCGAGUGGCGGACGGGUGAGGAAUACAUCGGAAUCUACUUUUUCGUGGGGGAUAACGUAGGGAAACUUACGCUAAUACCGCAUACGAUCUACGGGUGAAAGCAGGGGAUCUUCGGACCUUGCGCGAUUGAAUGAGCCGAUGUCGGAUUAGCUAGUUGGCGGGGUAAAGGCCCACCAAGGCGACGAUCCGUAGCUGGUCUGAGAGGAUGAUCAGCCACACUGGAACUGAGACACGGUCCAGACUCCUACGGGAGGCAGCAGUGGGGAAUAUUGGACAAUGGGCGCAAGCCUGAUCCAGCCAUACCGCGUGGGUGAAGAAGGCCUUCGGGUUGUAAAGCCCUUUUGUUGGGAAAGAAAAGCAGCAGGUUAAUACCCCGCUGUUCUGACGGUACCCAAAGAAUAAGCACCGGCUAACUUCGUG
rnacentral:rRNA from 1 species